UAGGGAAUCUUCCACAAUGGACGAAAGUCUGAUGGAGCAACGCCGCGUGAGUGAAGAAGGGUUUCGGCUCGUAAAACUCUGUUGUUAAAGAAGAACAUAUCUGAGAGUAACUGUUCAGGUAUUGACGGUAUUUAACCAGAAAGCCACGGUUAACUACGUGUCAG
rnacentral:rRNA from 1 species